AUCUGUCAGAGGGGCAGUGCCCACACUCCAGCCAGGCAAGCCAAUCAUGAUGCUAUGGCUUCUGGACAGUGAAGAUGGCCCUGCUGUUAAGGCUGAGAAUGCCAGAGAAGUGUCAAGAGUUUGAAAGCAGGCAGCUCACCCUUGGCUCUGUCAGCCAUAAAGCCUUAGCUCACACAAAAAAUUCCUAAUUCCAGGAUCCUCUGGUUUCCAGGGAACAUUUCCAAGAAAUUUCCCCAGGAGCUCACCAACUUUUUUCUUUUCUUAGGCUAUGUAAAGAGACUUGUCAUCAAGGACAUCGCAACCAAGCCUUUACCUUUUAGAAAGUGUAUAAAACGGUGCCACUUCAGGGGAGAGUGCCUAGUGACCACACCGAGGAGCACAGUAGAGCCGAACACAGAUUGGUCUUCAAGAAGUGUGGGGCAACCUGGUCCUUGGAGAGAACUCCCAGAGGGAUCAUGGCAACCUCCACAUGGGUAGGGCAGCCAUGAGGCCACAGCCUCUUUCCUCCUCCAAAUCAUCCCUCUUUCCUUUUCAUCUUAAACAUUCUACCUCCCACAAGAAAAUCUAUUGCUAUGAAUUACUUUACAUGUCUUCCUACCCAUAAACAUGUGCCUAAGCUCUGACCAGAAGGUCUUGAGGAA